AGUGAACGCUGGCGGUAGGCCUAACACAUGCAAGUCGAACGGCAGCACAGUAAGAGCUUGCUCUUACGGGUGGCGAGUGGCGGACGGGUGAGGAAUACGUCGGAAUCUACUUUUUCGUGGGGGAUAACGUAGGGAAACUUACGCUAAUACCGCAUACGACCUACGGGUGAAAGCAGGGGAUCUUCGGACCUUGCGCGAUUGAAUGAGCCGAUGUCGGAUUAGCUAGUUGGCGGGGUAAAGGCCCACCAAGGCGACGAUCCGUAGCUGGUCUGAGAGGACGAUCAGCCACACUGGAACUGAGACACGGUCCAGACUCCUACGGGAGGCAGCAGUGGGGAAUAUUGGACAAUGGGCGCAAGCCUGAUCCAGCCAUACCGCGUGGGUGAAGAAGGCCUUCGGGUUGUAAAGCCCUUUUGUUGGGAAAGAAAAGCAGCAGGUUAAUACCCCGCUGUUCUGACGGUACCCAAAGAAUAAGCACCGGCUAACUUCGUG
rnacentral:rRNA from 1 species